rnacentral:rRNA from 1 species
CGAUGAAGAACGCAGCGAAAUGCGAUACGUAGUGUGAAUUGCAGAAUUCCGCGAAUCAUCGAGUCUUUGAACGCAAGUUGCGCCCGAGGCUUGUCCAAGGGCAUUUCCGCUAGAGCGUCACCGCGCCCCCCACCGAUCCGCUCCCGCCGCGAGGCGCCAGUCGGUUCGAGUGGAAGUGGCCGUCCCGGUCGCGCGGCCUUCGCAAGAAGGCCUUGAGCGCAAGUAAGGGUCGGCUGAAAUGGAUGGAAUUGGGCCGCCGUGGUGACACAGUCCGCGAUCGGGUGAUUUUACGCGAGCCUCCUCCGGGAGGGUCGCCGUGAAUUUUUCUAAGUGCGUGGCUGCGUCCCCCAGUUGGUUUCGGUUACCUCGUGCAGGUCGUGCGCGCCCCCGCGGCGCGCGUCACGCAUCAGACCUCUAAUCGGAAAAGACUACCCGCUGAGUUUAAGCAUAUCAAUAAGCG